GGAGGAGGAGGGAGCAGCAUGGGGAGCCCUUUGGCCCAGCCGUUGAUGGAUAUGCUGGAAUCCGACCCCAAAACCCAACUGCUCGUGAGGAAGACUGACGAGCAUGACGGCCUCUCUUCAUCCAUCCCUGGAGGAGGACGGCAACUAUGGUGGACAAGGUGAACAGUAAAGACAUCGCUCAGCUCAACAAUGCCUUUCUAGAGGCUCCGGACAGCAUUGUAUCAGACAGCAAAGACAAAUGGGGCCUGCUUUGUUUUUUCUCAACGCCAGUACAAAUCAUUGAUGAGGACGCUGAGGAUGACGGCUAUGUGGAUUUAAGGAGGAGGCUUGGCAUGGAAUUAACUGAGGCAGUGCCACAUUUGUGAUCUGUUCAGCAUGGAAAUAGCAAUUUAUAGCUGCUUUUAACCAAGGCCAGGCCCAAAUAUAUGUGGGAGGAAACAGAAUAACCAUGUGCCAGUAUCCCUUUACCCUGUG